rnacentral:pre_miRNA from 1 species
AAUCUACUCCCUCCGUCCCAAAAUUCUUGUCUUAGAUUAGUCUAGAUACGGAUGUAUCUAAUACUAAAACGUGACUUGAUACAUCUGUAUUUAGACAAAUCUAAGACAAGAAUUUUGGGACGGAGGGAGUAUUAU